rnacentral:tRNA from 1 species
GGGGAUUUAGCUCAGCGGCAUAAGCGCCUGUCUUGCAAGCAGGCAGUCCUGAGUUCAAUCCCUG